UGCAAUCUGUGAUGCAAUUAUAAUAUCCUUACUAUUAUGAUUAUCCGUGAUUAUCAAAAUUAUCACCAUCUUUCGACUGAGAUUGCA